rnacentral:rRNA from 1 species
GAUGAACGCUGACAGAAUGCUUAACACAUGCAAGUCAUUGGCGAAGCUGCGCUUGCGCAGUCUAGCCAAGGCGGACGGGUGAGUAACGCGUAAGGAACUUGCCCUGCAGACAGGGAUAACAGACGGAAACGACUGAUAACACCUGGUAUUGUCAGGCUGGCGCAUGCCGGCCUGAUGAAAGGAGACGCUGCAGGAGAGCCUUGCGUCCUAUUAGCUAGUUGGUGGGGUAACGGCCCACCAAGGCGAUGAUAGGUAGCCGGCCUGAGGGGGUGAACGGCCACAAGGGGACUGAGAUACCGCCGUUACUCCUACGGGGGGCAGGAGGGGGGAAUAAUGGACCAAGGGGGCAACCCUGAUCCAGCAAUUCUGUGUGGAAGAAGAAGGUUUUCGGAUUGUAAAGUGCUUUCAGCAGGGAAGAAGAAAGUGACGGUACCUGCAGAAGAAGCGACGGCUAAAUACGUG